CAGUAGCCGCGGUAAAACGUAGGUGGCAAGCGUUGUCCGGAAUUAUUGGGCGUAAAGGGCUCGCAGGCGGUUUCUUAAGUCUGAUGUGAAAGCCCCCGGCUCAACCGGGGAGGGUCAUUGGAAACUGGGAAACUUGAGAGCAGAAGAGGAGAGUGGAAUUCCACGUGUAGCGGUGAAAUGCGUAGAGAUGUGGAGGAACACCAGUGGCGAAGGCGACUCUCUGGUCUGUAACUGACGCUGAGGAGCGAAAGCGUGGGGAGCGAACAGGAUUAGAUACCCCAGUAGUCCCUGUCUCUUAUAC
rnacentral:rRNA from 1 species